UUUUUUUUUUAAAUGAGUGGUUCCCAGUAGAUAUUUUUAGUUAAAUACUAUUUACUUUAUAAAGAAACCCUUCACACAUUGCUUAUGGUUUAUAUCUAUUCAUUGGGUCAAAGAUAUGUAAGCAACCUCAUAUAUUAUACCCGCAAUCAAAAUGAGAAAUGACACAUAAGAUCCAGGCUCUCAGGAGAAACAUUAUGAAAUCUCAAGGUAUUGAUGAAAGUUUUUCCAAGGCUGAUCCAAAUGGGAUUUAGAUUCUGUGGCAGUUGAAAUGUGUAUUAUUAAACUCCUUAAGCAAACCCGGAUGACUCCCAGUGGAGGAUUAAGACAUUCUAUGUAUAGCAAAGACGAAAUUCUCAUGUCUGAGUUUUCUCUAUUGAAUUCCCCCUUGAUUAGCUUCUGUAAUAUUUAACUUCAUGCCAUGCCAGAGACAGUCUUGGGGCUGGUCUUGGGCACCUCAUUAGUUAAUUGAGGUUUACUUGGCUCGCAACAGGACUGAAAAGUCAGAGAACACCGAGGGAGGUGGGGAGCGGGAAAAGCUGGGACUCAAGGUGAGGCUGAAGUGAUAGGAUGCAAAACAGCUGGUCCAAUGGGAAGUGAGUUUGGACCCAGAAUAAAAACUGUUCAAUGC
rnacentral:lncRNA from 1 species